rnacentral:lncRNA from 1 species
CAACACCAAUACCAAAUGUGCUUUAGCAUACCUCAAGCGACUCUGUUUGUGGUGCAGAAAAGGCUUCUUCUGUAUUCCUCUCCCAUACAGCAUCUCCUUGUGUAAAGUGCACUGAAUAGUUGAACGAUGCACAGUGACUCCAUCUCUAGCAAAAUGUAGGUGUUUGGAGCUGCUCUGUGGGUUGACUACAACUGUUCUCACCAUCCUUCUCCUCUGAUUAUCUGAGAUUUUUCUUGACCUGACACUUCAGGUCUUAACUAAAACUGUAUCUGUGGUUCUUUCAUUUCCUCACUCUGUUCCUCACAGUGGAAACUGACUGAAAUCUCUGAGAGAGCUUUUUGUAAUCUUCCCCUAAACCAUGAUGUUGAACAAUAUUUUCAGGUGAUUUGAGAGUUUUGUUUUGAGGCUACCAUGUCACCACUCUUCAGAGAAGAUGCAAAAAUAGGAGAAAAAUUUGCAAUUGGCUCCUUAACCCGUUCUUAUAAUUGGAUUCACCUGUGUAUGUAGGUCAAGGGUCAAUAAGCUAACCAAACUAAUUUUGUGUUCCAGUAAUAAAAGUGCUAAAGGUACUCACCUCAAUAAAAUGACAAGGGUUCACCAAUUGUAUUCCCCUGCCUAAUUUAGUUUAAUUAAUUAUUGCACAUUUUUCUGUAAAUCCUAUAAACUUCUUUUCACUUCUUAAAUAUCACUGUGUUCAUCUGCUUUAUCUGAAAUUGUUGAUCCGGACGACCAAUGAUUUAUAAAGAAAAAUAAUAAAAAUAAUUAUCAGGGGUCCACAAACCUUUUCGUACCACCGUAAAUGUGGUGCUCUAUGUUCUAUAAAUGUCAUCUUGUAUGAGAGUUCCUUAAUCUAAGGUUUCCUGGCCACAACAUAGCUUUUGGCCUGUAGCUCAUGCUGGGUGUGAAAACUAUCACCAUCUAUUUUCACUGAAAGGUCUCACUCACCAUAUCUGUUUAAAUAUAGAACAGAAUCUUUUGAUUGGUUAAAAAAAAACACCAUCCCACUUUACUUUAAUACUCUCAUACUAAGGCACUCUCAAACACACAAACCACACACACCCACACCCACACACACACACUCACACACUUCAUCCACAAGCAGGGUUCCUGAGUGGAUACUAUUACGAAAGGAUAGUAAGCAGCACAAGAUGGAGCUCUUCCUUCUUCUGGCUCUGAUCUACUUUUACCACUCAAAUGCUUAUCAUCCUAAUCCUAAUGAGCCUAAAAGUCCCUGUAAUGGUACAGCCGGUGACAACCAGUAUUGUUACAAAUCCGUCACAUAGUUCCAUUUAAAAACAAGAUCUCUGUAGAUGACUGGAGACAGUACCUGUGGAAGAAUAAACUUUGUAGAAAAAACGUACUACA